CAAUUCCGUGCUCCAAGGAACCCGCCAUCCUCUGUUGAAGAGAUUAGAUGAAUCCCAAUUUUCGGAACCUUUAAAUUUGAAAAUGAUUCCUCGCCGCAAAUGUUAGUGAUAACGGAAGAUCAAAGCCACCAUGAUGGUCCCACGAUGGACCAGUCCCAAUCUCAGCUCUAGAAGCAAGAUUUUCAAAGCCACAAAUGAAGAUUUGUGAUGGAUUUAACCUGUUUCAGUUUCUGAUAAACACCACAUCAUCAAAGCUCUUCCACGCGUCUCGGCGGAUGGUGGCGGCGGAAGAGGAGGAAGUGUGAUGACGGUAUCUUAGGCUGAAGGUGACAUAUGAAAAAGAAAAGGAAGUAAAAGAAAAGACGACAUAUUGGGGACGGCUGCUGUGGACUAUAGCAGGAAACCAAGUUUGGUAUUGUCAUUUCCAUCAUGAGUAAUCAUGAUGAAAGUUUUGUGUCACUUGCUCAACCCAUCGGAAGAUGGUCGAUAUUCUGUUUCGGUCUGGGGCAUAUGCUCAAUGACAUUACUGCUGCCUGCUGGUUUACGUAUCUGUUACUUUUCUUGACGGAUAUUGGAUUAUCUCCGGGGAAUGCUGCUACAGUUAUGCUUUCGGGUCAAGUAGCUGAUGGGUUAACAACAAUUGUUGCUGGUGAACUGAUAGACCGGUUCGGACGUUUCAAAAUAUGGCAUGGUGCAGGAUCUAUGUUAGUGGCAGUUUCGUUUUCUUCUGUUUUUGGUGGCUGCAUACCGUGCAUAUUCUAUUCUCGAAGUUCAUCAACAUUGCGAACUGUAGGCUACAGCUUUUUUGCGGCAAUCUUUAAUGUUGGUUGGGCAGCCACUCAGGUUUCACAUAUGUCUAUGAUAAAUUGUAUUACACUGAAUUCAACCAGUAGAGUGGCAUUGGCUAGUUGCCGCAAUGCUUUUAACAUGGUUGCAAAUCUUAGCCUGUAUGCAGUGGCUUUGUUAGUGUUUAGUAUCUCGAAGGCAAAAUCUCAUGUAGAUAUUGAACAUCAGUACCGAAUGAUAGCAUAUAUUUCAAUUUUCAUUGGCUGCUGCUUUGUGGUCGUAUUUCUAGUUGGGACCAAGGAGCCAAGUUUGAAGGUUGCUGUACAUGGAAAUCGGCAUGCAAGGAUUUCGUGGUCAUAUUGGUUCAAGAAAGUUUUAUAUUAUCAAGUUGCUCUUGCUUAUGUACUUACGAGACUGAUUAUCAAUGUUUCACAGGCAUUUCUGGCAUAUUAUGUUAUUAACGAUCUGCAUAUGGCGCAGUCAGCUACAGCUUUGGUUCCUGCAAUAAUCUACGUCUUCAGCUUCAUCAUAUCUUUAACUCUUCAGGAGGUUGUUUGGACUGGCCAACGCCUGAAGCUCUACUAUUCUGCUGGAGGCAUUCUCUGGAUGUUUUGUGGUGCGGUGAUUCUCAUUUUACCCACAAGCAUGAGUGCUUUUAUGUACGUCGUGUCCUUUGUUAUUGGUGUAGCAAAUGCUUUAAUGGUGGUGACUGGAGUGAGCAUGCAAACUGUUCUAGUUGGAAGGGAUCUGAAUGGCUGUGCAUUUGUGUGCGGUUCAUUGAGCUUCCUUGACAAAAUCUUAUGUGGGCUGGCACUAUACUUUCUGGAAUCAUUUCAGAGUAACACCGCGUUACACAUUUCGAAAUACAAUCCUCUCGAUGCCACCUAUAUUUCGGUUACGAGAUAUGGUUUAGGACUUGUGCCAGCAGUUUGUGCAUUCCUUGGAGUAGCAGUUACAAUGAGCAUGGACCUUCAUGCCCCUUACGCCAAAUACCUGACCGAAUCGCUACUGGAAUAAUGGUAGAAACGUCAGCCUUCAAUCGGAAGAUCUGUAAAUAGACCAAUUCCAUUCCACUGAUGUCAUCAUCAAUUCAACAACAUUCCUUUCGUAAUCAAGGUGAUCAUUCCACUGGUAUAUAGCACAGGUAUGGAAUUAUCAUUUUGUUCAAAGAGUUACUAGUCCAGUUUAUGGAUUGUUCAUCUGCUCGUCCCCAAGGGCCUUCUAAGCCUAGCUUUAACUUUUACUUGAUAAUACUAAUUGUUUAUCAUUUGUUCAAAGAACUACUCAUCCAGCAUAUUUCAGAUUAGCUUUGGGAGGAAACAAUUUCAUGAACUAUUCAUAAGGCCAAUCUGGGUUGAUUUGUAGCGUUGAACACUAUCUAGUAACCAACAGAAACUGUUAUUUACAGAGCUGUGGGAGUCUUCAAAGCAAGUUAGCGCUGGUCCAUUCCAUUGGCAGAGCAGUCUUAAAGCACACGCAACCUUGAAUUCCUUGAGCUGAUUCCAUCUUGGACAACAACAGGGCAUAAGAACAAUAAUGGUCUACUGAUUUUAAGUACACUGAGAUUUCACAUACUUCAAAAAAGGGGAAGCGUGGCAUGAACAGAAUGGCUUAGUAAGAGGCUGCAAAGGAACUACUCUUGGAGGGUUUCAAAUUCUGUUUCAUUAAACACUGAUUUGAGUUCAUAUUUGGCCCAAUAUUUCACCUUCUUUCUUCCUUCCAUGGAGAGCUGUCCUAGUUGGUCAACAGGUACGUGGAAACCAGUUCCUUGUCCGAAGAUUUUGCUGUGGUUGACUUUGACUUCGUCGAUGUCGUAGCAGUCUUGGUCAGCGACUUGAGUCCCUUACACGAUUUCAUGUGUGAAUGCAUCUUCUCUGGCUUGAAACU